CGGAACACGUGUGCAACCUGCCUUUAUCAGGGGGAUAGCCUUUCGAAAGGAAGAUUAAUACCCCAUAAUAUUUAGAAUGGCAUCAUUUUAAAUUGAAAACUCCGGUGGAUAGAGAUGGGCACGCGCAAGAUUAGAUAGUUGGUGAGGUAACGGCUCACCAAGUCUGCGAUCUUUAGGGGGCCUGAGAGGGUGAUCCCCCACACUGGUACUGAGACACGGACCAGACUCCUACGGGAGGCAGCAGUGAGGAAUAUUGGACAAUGGGUGGGAGCCUGAUCCAGCCAUCCCGCGUGAAGGACGACGGCCCUAUGGGUUGUAAACUUCUUUUGUAUAGGGAUAAACCUACCCUCGUGAGGGUAGCUGAAGGUACUAUACGAAUAAGCACCGGCUAACUCCGUGCCAGCAGCCGCGGUAAUACGGAGGGUGCAAGCGUUAUCCGGAUUUAUUGGGUUUAAAGGGUCCGUAGGCGGAUCUGUAAGUCAGUGGUGAAAUCUCACAGCUUAACUGUGAAACUGCCAUUGAUACUGCAGGUCUUGAGUGUUGUUGAAGUAGCUGGAAUAAGUAGUGUAGCGGUGAAAUGCAUAGAUAUUACUUAGAACACCA
rnacentral:rRNA from 1 species